AUGUUCACUGAUGAGUUCAGGGGCACAACCACUCUAUAUAAGCAUACCCACCCAAAGGGAUCUUUUGUGUACAUUGAUCCUGAAUAUGUUAUGACUGGUGACCUGACCCCCCUAUCUGAUGUAUACUCUUUCGGAAUCGUGCUGUUGCGCCUCUUGACUGGAAGACCAGGAUUCGGGCUGUUGAAAGAUGUGCAACGGGCAGUGGAAAAGGGUUGCCUGGAAGCAAUUUUGGAUUCAUCUGCUGGGGGCUGGCCAGCUAUGCAGGCUGAGCAAUUGGCUCGGGUAGGUCUGAAAUGUUGUGAAAUCAGAAGAAAAAACCGUCCUGACCUGCAAACGGAGGUUUGGACUGUACUUGAACCAAUGUUGAAGUCCAGUUCCUUCAUGUUGUGUUCCUUAUCAUUUAAAUCAGUAUCCGAAGACCUUGGAGGUGUGCCGCCCUACUUCAUCUGUCCAAUACUACAGGAUAUCAUGAGGGAACCUCUAAUUGCUGCAGAUGGUUUUACCUAUGAAGCCGAAGCUAUAAGGGAGUGGAUUGACAAUGGCCACCAUACAUCACCCAUGACAAAUCUUGAGCUACUCCACCGUGAUCUUUUGCCGAACCAUGCCCUCCGUUCUGCGAUCCAAGAAUGGCUGCAGACAAAUGCAAAUUAA
rnacentral:rRNA from 1 species